rnacentral:lncRNA from 1 species
CAUGCUCGUCCCGGGCGGCCUGGCCUCCAGCCGCCUGGGUGCGUGCGCAAGGAGCUCCCCGGCCGUGCUGCCUGACAUUUGCAAUCGUUUAAUGGGAACAAGUUCCAUCUUUGAGCUCUGCUCAGCCUUUCAUACAGCAGCCAAACUGUCCACCCCGGACGGGACAUAAAUCCUGCUGGCGAGUCACUGUUCCCCUCCCGGAGCGGCUUCGUUCCCAGAGCUCGCCCGGGCAGCUGUUUGCACCCCAGCGCCCCGGUUUGGGGCAGGCCCCGGGGAACACAUGGGGUGCAGAGGAGAGAGCGCUGUAUCGCCAGCCGAGGAGCAGCAUUCCAGGCUGGUUCCCAACUCCAGUGAAAGUAGAAACACGUGUCCUGAAGAGUCUCCGUUGCCCGCCGGCCGCCGUGGGGCAGGCGCUGAACUCCAGGUAGGAGCUGCCCCUGGGGGGAGAGGGGUGCCCAACCCACCCGGUGCCCCACGAGUUUUGCCAACACCUGCAUACACAGGGGGGGGGGGGCGGGCCGGGCCUCCACGCCCCAGACCAGGAGCCGGGGCAUAGCAGCCUCUGCACGGUGCUCCUUACCCCUUACCUGCUGUGUGACUUCAGGCAACGCUCCUUGCCUCUCUGGGCCUGAGAGUCUUUUUUAAAAUGCAAGUUAUCAUUCCAGUCCUGGAGGAUUGGAGGAUCGGAAUCAUCCGAGAGAAGAAGGAAGGGUCUUAAAAUUUAGGCACAUAGUGCUUUGCCCGGGGGUGGGGUGGGUGGGUGUUUGGGAAAUAUUUUUCUUUUCUGGCUUUUGCUCCUGCAAAAUUUUUAAAAAACAUUUUAUUCAUCUUUGAGAGAGAGAGAGAGAGAGAGAGAACGAGCAGGGGGAGGGGCAGAGGGACAAGCAGACUGCCUGCUGGGAACAGAGCUCCCCCGUCCCACGACCCUGAGAUCAUGACCUGAGCCAAAGCCAGAUGCUUAACCGACUGAGCCACCCAGGUGCCCCUGCUCCUGCGGAUUUAGAAAAGGAAUCAGGGACGCCUGGCGGCUCCAUGGUUGAGCAUCUGCCUUGGGCCCAGGUCAUGACCCUGGGGUCCUGGGAUUGAGUCCCAUGUCGGGCUCCCUGCAUGGAGCCUGCUUCUCCUCUGCCUGUGUCUCUGCCUCUCUCUGUGUCUCUCAUGAAUAAAUAAAUAAAAUCUUUAAAAAAGAAAAAAGAAAAGGAAUCAGCCAGGCCUUCCCUUCGCAUGCUGUCUGUCUGACAGCCCAAGGGAGGGGCCGGUGAAGCUCAGAUACUCUUUGUUGGCCUGUCUGCCUUGCACUCAGUGCCCACCUCCACUUCUCAUGGCCACAGCUCCCUGAGAAGGCUCUAGAAUGCCAGAUUGUUGGCUCCCUAGGUGGGGCGGGGAGCUGCCCAGCGGCCUCCUCGGUACCCCCGCAGGCUGUGGCACAGCGCAGAGGCAGGCUGGGAGCCGCUGGUGUGCUUGUCUCCCCUUCCAUCUCUUGGCCGUUCCUCCCUUCCCCUGCCCGUGGCCCCAGGUGAGGCGCCCAGGUGUGCGGGGGUGAGGGCUGUGGCCAGCUACCCCCCGCCCCC